rnacentral:rRNA from 1 species
AGAGUUUGAUCAUGGCUCAGGAUUAACGCUGGCGGUAUGCCUAACACAUGCAAGUCGAACGGAAUACUCGAAAAGAGAAUCUCACACUAGUGAGAGGUUCUCCAACCGAGUAUUUAGUGGCGGACGGGUGAGUAACACGUUGGAACCUGCCCCGAAGUGGGGAAUAACUGCUCGAAAGAGUAGCUAAUACCCCAUAGUAUCCGGUUUAUCCGGAUUAAAGAUUUAUCGCUUCGGGAGGGGCCUGCGUCUGAUUAGCUUGUUGGUGGGGUAAAAGCUCGCCAAGGCGACGAUCAGUAGCUGGUUCGAGAGGAUGACCAGCCACACUGGGACUGAGAUACGGCCCAGACUCCUACGGGAGGCAGCAGUGAGGAAUCUUCCACAAUGGACGAAAGUCUGAUGGAGCAAUACCGCGUGCAGGACGACGCUUUUCGGAGUGUAAACUGCUUUUGUCGUCGAAGAUUAUGACUGUAGACGAAGAAUAAGGACCGGCUAACUACGUG